rnacentral:rRNA from 1 species
CAGUCGUACGCUUCUUUUUCCACCGGAGCUUGCUCCACCGGAAAAAGAAGAGUGGCGAACGGGUGAGUAACACGUGGGUAACCUGCCCAUCAGAAGGGGAUAACACUUGGAAACAGGUGCUAAUACCGUAUAACAAUCGAAACCGCAUGGUUUUGAUUUGAAAGGCGCUUUCGGGUGUCGCUGAUGGAUGGACCCGCGGUGCAUUAGCUAGUUGGUGAGGUAACGGCUCACCAAGGCCACGAUGCAUAGCCGACCUGAGAGGGUGAUCGGCCACAUUGGGACUGAGACACGGCCCAAACUCCUACGGGAGGCAGCAGUAGGGAAUCUUCGGCAAUGGACGAAAGUCUGACCGAGCAACGCCGCGUGAGUGAAGAAGGUUUUCGGAUCGUAAAACUCUGUUGUUAGAGAAGAACAAGGAUGAGAGUAACUGUUCAUCCCUUGACGGUAUCUAACCAGAAAGCCACGGCUAACUACGUGCCAGCAGCCGCGGUAAUACGUAGGUGGCAAGCGUUGUCCGGAUUUAUUGGGCGUAAAGCGAGCGCAGGCGGUUUCUUAAGUCUGAUGUGAAAGCCCCCGGCUCAACCGGGGAGGGUCAUUGGAAACUGGGAGACUUGAGUGCAGAAGAGGAGAGUGGAAUUCCAUGUGUAGCGGUGAAAUGCGUAGAUAUAUGGAGGAACACCAGUGGCGAAGGCGGCUCUCUGGUCUGUAACUGACGCUGAGGCUCGAAAGCGU